AUGAAGAAGAUCAUGAACCGUUGCCGCAAGCUAGCGGGCAUGCUUGGGUGCGCUACCUCUGUUGACGUGCAUGUUCCUCCUCCUGGUGGGUCGACACGUUCCCUAGCUUCAUCAAGCAACACCGGCGGAGGUUCCUCGAGCCAUGCCGCCUCGUCGUCUCGCCUUGUUGACGAGUCCGAGGAAGAAGAUGAUCAGAGAGAAGAGGACGAGGAGGAAGAGGGAGAAGAGGAGUACGACGAAGGAGGUGAUGAUGAGGAGGAGUACGACGACGACGACGGACCUCAACCGACUCAGCCAACCCAGAAGAAGAGAGGGGAAGUUUCGAAGAGAUAUGAGGAGCGUGCCGCCAAGAGGGGGAGGGGGAGGAACUAG
rnacentral:rRNA from 1 species